GAGCCUGAGAAAUGGCUACCACAUCCAAGGAAGGCAGCAGGCGCGCAAAUUACCCAAUCCUGACUCAGGGAGGUAGUGACAAGAAAUAACAACGCUAGGACUUAGUCCUGCGAUUGGAAUGAGUACAACGUAAAAUCCUUAACGAGUACCCACUGGAGGGCAAGUCUGGUGCCAGCAGCCGCGGGAAUUCCAGCUCCAAUAGCG
rnacentral:rRNA from 1 species